GCGGGCCGUCCACCCCUCUCCAACCCACAGUCCAACCCCUUCCGGCUCUGGGUGGAUGAUUAACCCACAGACGAGACUUGGUGAGAUCCCUGGGGUUAGUGGUAUUUUUCAGUGGCUGCAGCAGGCUGAGCCAGUGGCCAGUUUCCUCAUCUCCAGCCUGAACUCCUUCAGGGCUUGGCUGGGGCAGAGAUGUCCAGAAAAAAGCCAAUGGGAGCUGCUCAACUCCUGCCUCAGGCCUUCCCUGGCCUGGCCUCUCAGGAAAUCCUCACGGUAUGGUGGGCAUGCCCAGGAGCACAUGCUGCCUAUCUGCAGAGUCCCCAGACUCGCGAGCUUCUUCCUGGGCCUACACCUGGGCUCUGCACUCCAUGGGGCCUCGAGGUCUGGGCUGGACCCGUCAGCAGGGAGCUACACUUGGAGGUGGCUACUCAAGCCCCCAUCUCAGCAGGGCGCAUGGGUCACCCAGUGGAGAGCGUGCACAGAGAAGCUGCAUCACUCAGCCCUGCGCCCUAGGGGUACCACAGCCCCGGAGGCCCUGGCCGCUGCUCUGCGGACAUGAGAUAUUCCCAAAGUCUCAACCCAGCCUCUCCUCCUGCAGCUCCCAGCUAGGCCCUGCCUGGGCCCUGCCUCCUCCCACCUACCGAGGAUGGAGCCCCUCAGCUCUUGGACGAUGAUGUGCAGGUCAUCCACGUCCACAAAGUGCAGGUGCUUCUCGGCAGGGGCUGAGGCAGCAGCUGACAGCUCCAGGAAGUUGCCUCGGCCGGUGCUGACGAUGAACACGGUGACGCCCAGGUCUUUUAGCUCCUGCAUGGGGGGUCCCACAGGGUCGCUGGAGCCGCCAUCUGUCACCCACACCAGCACCUUGGGCA